GCUCCCGCGACUCCGCUGUGGGUCUGCACACCCGAGGACUCGGUUUGAAACGCCCGCUUAUUUAUUUUCUUGUCGCCUCGCUACAAGAUUCUAUCCUUGUUUGGGCAUGAGUGGGGGGCGGCAGUCUCGUGGGACCGGCGGCAUUCGUCGUUCCUCCUCACGGGGAUAAUUCGAGAAGUGCGAUCCGGGGGUACUUAACCGAAACUAGCAAUCCCAGGCGGUACAAGGCCCUCCAUCGUAGGCAAAGCACUACCUGAAUGUAGAUUUGGGGCCAUACGUUGGAAAAUAAGACAUGAGAGUAUGCUCCGAUCAACUUUUACUGUUUACUGGACAACUAUUUUGGGAAUUUGCAGACCUAUAAAGCCCAUCUAUAAAUCUCAAGCAUGUCCACUUUCAGAGAAGAGAAAUGCCAACAACCAUUUAGUCUCUGAGGACAACACUUUUAAAGUGUAACAAUGUGGCAUCCAGAGCUUAUCCAGAUGAGCAGAGAGCAAAUGAAUUUCCUUCUGCUCCCCUGUUGAAGAGGAGAGAAAAAUUCUUCAAGCUGACUCCAUCAUAGGACUGGAGAGAGAUUGGAUGUCAGAGUGAUUGAUGUGCUCCUACUGGAAGAAGGCAAACAUCCAUAUGUGAACUGCCUGUGGGGUUUCCAAGGAAAGGAACGGCAGGCAGCCUCUAUGAGCUUGAAGAAGAUAACUGGGACUUUAGUCCUAUAACCUCAAGGAACAGUAUUCUGUGAACCAUCUGAGAAGCUUGGAAGAGGACCCCAAACUCCAAAUAAGAAGGUCAGUGUG
rnacentral:antisense_RNA from 1 species